rnacentral:lncRNA from 1 species
CCGUAAUGAACCGUCUAGCCCCUGUGGAGAUCUCCUAUGAGAACAUGUGUUUUCUGAUAACUCACAACCCUACCAAUGCUACUCUCAACAAGUUCACAGAGGAACUUAAGAAGUAUGGAGUGACGACUUCGGUUUGAGUUUGUGAUGCUACAUAUGAUAAAGCUCCAGUUGAAAAAGAAGGAAUCCACGUUCUAGAUUGGCCAUUUGAUGAUGGAGCUCCAUCCCCUAAUCAGAUAGUAGAUGAUUGGUUAAACCUGUUAAACACCAAAUUUCGUGAAGAGCCAGGUUGCUGUGUUGCAGUGCAUUGCGUUGUGGAAUUGGGAAGGGCACCUGUGCUGGUUGCACUUGCUUUGAUUGAAUGUGGAAUGAAGUACGUAGAUGCAGUUCAGUUUAUAAGACAAAAAAGAAGGGGAGUGUUAAAUUCCAAACAGCUGCUUUACUUAAGAUGCGAUUACGCUUCAGAGAUACCAAUGGGCAU